CGGGCACCAAACAAACAUAAUGUAAUGAAUGUUAUCUACUAUAAUAAAUACAACUUUCAACAACGGAUCUCUUGGCUCUCACAUCGAUGAAGAACGCAGCGAAAUGCGAUAAGUAAUGUGAAUUGCAGAAUUCAGUGAAUCAUCGAAUCUUUGAACGCAAAUUGCGCCCUUUGGUAUUCCGAAGGGCAUGCCUGUUUGAGUGUCUUAUAAACCUCACCCCUAAUGUUUUAUUACAAUAGGUUGGUGCUUUGGGUGUUGCCAUUUACCUGGCUCGCCUUAAAUGACUAAGUGGAAUGCGUAAUAAGUUCUCGCAACCCUCCACUCUAAUACAAUUUAUAUUCUGACCUCAAAUCAGGUAGGACUACCCGCUGAACUUAAGCAUAUCAAUAAGCGGACGAAUCUUGCUGAAAAACUCGAGCCAUCCGGAAGAUCUGGCGGCCGCUCUCCCUAUAGUGAGUCGUAUUACGCCGGAUGGAUAUGGUGUUCAGGCACAAGUGUUAAAGCAGUUGAUUUUAUUCACUAUGAUGAAAAAAGCAAUGAAUGGAACCUGCUCCAAGUUAAAAAUAGAGAUAAUACCGAAAACUCAUCGAGUAGAAAGAUUAGAGAUAAUACAACAAUAAAAAAUGGGUUAGAACUUAUCACAGCGUGAUGCUACUAAUUGGGACAAUUUUCCAGAUGAAGAUCAUCUAAAAAUUAAAUGA
rnacentral:rRNA from 1 species